AGCAAUCAAAAACUCUUCUCUCAAAAAUUUUCAUUCCUUAUACUAACUCUUCAUUUAUCCAAAGCCCUUCACACGAAAUUUCCAAAUAGACUCUUCCAAGCUUGGUAUAAUAAUGAAUCUUAUGUAACUGGAUUUCUAAUGCGUGACAUAGCUUUGUUCUGCACAUAUAAUACAAUAUCCUGCAAAAUAAAUAUAUAUUUUUUUAUCACUUUG
rnacentral:lncRNA from 1 species